CAGCCGCCGCGGGAAUACGUAGGUGGCAAGCGUUGUCCGGAAUUAUUGGGCGUAAAGGGCUCGCAGGCGGUUUCUUAAGUCUGAUGUGAAAGCCCCCGGCUCAACCGGGGAGGGUCAUUGGAAACUGGGAAACAUGAGUGCAGAAGAGGAGAGUGGAAUUCCACGUGUAGCGGUAAAAUGCGUAGAUCUCGAGAGGAACACCAAUGGCGAAGGCAGCUUCUUGGUCCAUUCCUGACGUUCAUACACGAAAGCGUGGGGAGCAAACAGGAUUAGAUACCCCGGUAGUCCCUGUCUCUUAUAC
rnacentral:rRNA from 1 species